GACGAACGCUGGCGGCGUGCUUAACACAUGCAAGUCGAACGGAAAGGCCCUGCUUUUGUGGGGUGCUCGAGUGGCGAAAGGGUGAGUAACACGUGAGUAACCUGCCCUUGACUUUGGGAUAACUUCAGGAAACUGGGGCUAAUACCGGAUAGGAGCUCCUGCUGCAUGGUGGGGGUUGGAAAGUUUCGGCGGUUGGGGAUGGACUCGCGGCUUAUCAGCUUGUUGGUGGGGUAGUGGCUUACCAAGGCUUUGACGGGUAGCCGGCCUGAGAGGGUGACCGGCCACAUUGGGACUGAGAUAGGGCCCAGAAUCCUACGGGAGGCAGCAGUGGGGAAUAUUGCACAAUGGGCGGAAGCCUGAUGCAGCAACGCCGCGUGCGGGAUGACGGCCUUCGGGUUGUAAACCGCUUUCGCCUGUGACGAAGCGUGAGUGACGGUAAUGGGUAAAGAAGCACCGGCUAACUACGUG
rnacentral:rRNA from 1 species